rnacentral:rRNA from 1 species
UGCGGAAUUUUAGAUAAUGGAGGGAACUCUGAUCUAGCGACGCCGCGUGCAGGAAGAAGGUCUUCGGAUUGUAAACUGCUGUGGUAAGGGAAAAAUGCUAUGUAGAGUGGAAAGCUACAUAGAGGGAUGGUACCUUACUAGAAAGCCCCGGCUAACUACGUGCCAGCAGCCGCGGUAAUACGUAGGGGGCGAGCGUUACCCGGAAUCACUGGGCGUAAAGGGAGCGUAGGUGGCCUAACAUGUCAACUGUGAAAACCCGGAGCUCAACUCCGGACUUGCAGGUGAAACUGGUAGGCUUGAGGACGGUAGAGGAAGACGGAACUGCCAGUGUAGGUGUAAAAUCCUUAGAUAUUGGCAGGAACGCCUGUGACGAAGGUGGUUUUCUGGGCCGGUUCUGACACUGAUGCUCGAAAGCCAGGGG